AUUGUCACCACAGCCGGCUCCGCUCCCUGCCCAUCACGUUGGCCCACAUCUCAGGAGUCAGCCCCGGGCUGGGGCAGGAAGGGCCAGAUCUGAGAAAACCAGGAUGCUAAAAGCUUUUCAAUUCAGCAAGAAUUAACUGAGUGCCAAUUUAGCAUUAAAUAGAAAUGAGAAUAUUCAACCCAGCCCUCAACAAGUCUGGAAUCCCACUGGGAAGAUCAGCACAUUCUUGAAGACAGGACCAAUGAGUACCUGGUUGUGUACUUUACUUCCUCAUAUCAUGCAGUUAUUGUUUUACUCUGAUGCUUUUGCAAAUAUGCUUCAUCUUCAAAGGGAUUCAUAUUAAGUACUCUAGAAUGCCAGUUUCAAAUAACUUUCAGAUCAUACCAUUGAACUGGGUAAGGAUUUGCAGAACACUAACAAAGAAACUGAUGGCUUCAUAAAACUGCUAACAAAAGAUCAAGAUACAAGGAAAUGUUUUUUCUCCUAAGCCAACAAUGACCUACAGCAAUUUGUUAAAUUAUACCUUUGUAAGCAGAAUCGAAAUAUUUCUCUUUUUCUCCUUACCUAAUCCCUCCAGAAUUUGGAAACUCUUAAAUCAUUGAGAACUAAAGCUGCCCUUUUCCUGAAGCCUUGCAAACUAAGCUGAACAACUUGAUAUGAACUUAAGAGAGACCAGCAUAAUAGCCCAUGUUUAAACAAUCUUUGUGCCUGCUGCUGUGUAAACCACUCCGAAAGUUUACUCAAACACCUAAUGAUAUCAUCAGAGAUGUUUCAAACUGCAAAAGAUGUUUCAACCAUGACAUCUAGAAAUCUUUUUGACUGGCUGCCCCUAGGGCUAACUUUAGGAGUCCACCUGCAUCACCGCCUUCCAAAAUGAGUUUAACCAAACUGACCUACUGUCAGGAUUAAGAGACUGGUUCAGUGAGAUGGAACAAUCUACCAAUUCGGCUUCUGGACUGAGAACUUCUUGGAGAAGUUUUAAAGAUUCCAGCUGGGCCCUCAGCACCUGCAACAUUCAGAAGCCUGAGGAAACCGGAUGGCCUGAGAGGAGAGCCUGAGGCUGCUGAGCUGGGACAGAGCCAGGCCCAGUGGAAGCUGGUGUCCCUCAAUGAAAGACUUGGGCCAUGGGAUCCAGGCUUCCCACUGGGCAGUGAGCACUGUCUUCCCAUACAGAUGUCAGAAUAACACCCACUGAGCACCUACAUCCAACUUCAGCUUCGUCCAAAUUCCUCUCACUGAGGGGUUUCAACCUGUGAUGUGGGGGGUUAAAAUAGAAAGCAGGGGUUGUCUGAGUCCCACU
rnacentral:lncRNA from 1 species